UGGGGAAUAUUGGACAAUGGGCGCAAGCCUGAUCCAGCCAUGCCGCGUGUGUGAUGAAGGCCCUAGGGUUGUAAAGCACUUUCAACGGUGAAGAUAAUGACGGUAACCGUAGAAGAAGCUCCGGCUAACUUCGUGCCAGCAGCCGCGGUAAUACGAAGGGAGCUAGCGUUGUUCGGAAUUACUGGGCGUAAAGCGCACGUAGGCGGACUAAUUAGUCAGGGGUGAAAUCCCGGGGCUCAACCCCGGAACUGCCUUUGAUACUGUUAGUCUAGAGAUCGAGAGAGGUGAGUGGAAUUCCGAGUGUAGAGGUGAAAUUCGUAGAUAUUCGGAGGAACACCAGUGGCGAAGGCGGCUCACUGGCUCGAUACUGACGCUGAGGUGCGAAAGCGUGGGGAGCAAACAGGAUUAGAUACCCCCGUAGUCC
rnacentral:rRNA from 1 species